CUGAACGCGCCCGAUCCCGUCCACUCUCGGAAGCUAAACAG
ensembl:rRNA 5S_rRNA 5S ribosomal RNA